rnacentral:Y_RNA from 1 species
GGCUGGUCCAAGUGUGUUAUCAGAACUUACUAACAUUAGUGUCACUAAAGUUGGUAUUCAACCCCCCACUGCUAAAUUUGACUGGCUUUAA